rnacentral:lncRNA from 1 species
CCCGCCGCCGGCCCAGGCCCGAGCGAUCCCGGGCACCCCCUGCUCGGGCCGGCAGCAUGCCCCGCGGGCGAGCCUGGACGCAGGCGGAGGUCAGCAGCCUCCUGUCGCUGGUGGAGGGCUCGGGGGAGGCCGCACUGCUCAUGGCCUCCACGUCGCGACCCAACGAGGCGCUCUGGCGGGAGAUCUCCGGGGGUCUGGCGGAGGCCGGCUACGGGAGCAGCGUGGCCCAGUGCCGCUCCAAGUGGAAGGCGCUCAAGCAGGCUUUCCACUCGGAGCGGGAGACGCGCCGCAAGGCAGGACGUCACUCGCCCCGGCUGCCGCCGCACUACCGAGCCAUGAAGGCUAUCUGGAAGGCGGCCGGGCGGCCCGUGUUUGGUGAACGGAGGCUGCCAGGUGUGGUGAAGCUGCCCUCCAGAAAGCGCAGGUCAGCCCUUGCCACACGCUCUCCAUUCUCACCAAAGACACCAGAGCACAACGUUGGCGAGGACACCUUCAGCACACUGCUGUCACACAUGCUGCAGUGUGCGAAGGACCAGCCAGAGAGUCGUUUUCCUGGUGAGACAUCCCUGGGGAUGGGAAGAACAUACGAAGUGCUGCCAUUGGCUGCUGCAGCCAUAGGCUCCCAUGAGACAGCAGCCAUGAGUGAGCAGCCAGCAGCAGGUGAAGAUGCAUCAGACACAAGCCUGCAUGGGUCUGGUGUGGCAGGCUUGCUCCAGAAUGUGCAGCAACUACUGGUGCAGAUCCUGCAGACAUCACGGCAGCAGCAGGCACUACUGGAGAGCUUGGCCAGCGACACAGUCUCCCACCUCCACCGUAUCUCCCACAGCCUUGUGCAGGUGGGCGAGACCCUGCACCAACUCCUGCUCCAACCACAUCCUCACCCUAUUGGCCACUAUGUCCCCCACAUGCCCCUUUUUGAGGGUGGCUCCAGAGUACCCUGCUCCUCUGGUGCUCCCCACAUUUCCCCAGACCACAAAGAGGAGCCUCAGCUGUCCCCUGAUGCCAGGUGCAUCCCACCCUAAGUGCCACCAUCACUGGCCCCACGAGCAACAGCUUUGCUAUAGAGCUUGGCACAAAUCUUUAUGUCAGAGGUUCCAGAUAUUUUGAAAGUUUAUACUAGAGAGACAUUUUGAUGAAAUUAAAAAUAGCUUUUCUACCAGUGAUGGCA